AAGUUUGAUCAUGGCUCAGAGUGAACGCUGGCGGCGUGUCUUAGGCAUGCAAGUCGAGCGUCCUAGGGGGUCUCUCCUAGGAUAGCGGCGAACGGGUGAGUAAUACUUGGAUAACGUACCCUAGGUGUGGGAUAGCUCCGGGAAACUGGAGGUAAUCCCACAUAAUAUCCCUAGUCUGGGAUUAGGGAUUAAAGGCGCGAGUCGCCUAGGGAUCGGUCCAAGGCCUAUCAGCUAGUUGUAGGGUAACGGCCUACCAAGGCUAUGACGGGUAGCCGGUCUGAGAGGAUGGCCGGCCAACGGGCACUGAGACACGGGCCCGACUCCUACGGGAGGCAGCAGCCAAGGAUCUUGGGCAUGGGGGAAACCCUGACCCAGCGACGCCGCGUGAGGGAUGAAGCCCUACGGGGUGUAAACUCUUUUGCGAGGGAAGAUAAUGACGGUACCUCGCGAAUAAGCCCCGGCUAAUCACGUGCAGCAGCCGCGGUGAGACGUGAGGGGCGAGCGUUACUCGGAAUCACUGGGCGUAAAGGACCGCAGGCGGCUAUGUAAGUCAAGUGUCAAAGCCCAAGGCUCAACCUUGGAAAGGCACUUAUACUGCAUAGCUAGGAGCCGGGGGAGGGAGAUGGAAUGCCCGGUGUAAGGGUAAAAUCGUAGAUAUCGGGUAGAACGCCGAAGGCGAAGGCAGUCUCCUAUCCCGGUCUCGACGCUCGGUGUGAAAGCUGGGGGAGCAAACAGGAUUAGAUACCCUGGUAGUCCCAGCCGUAAACGUGCGGACUUGGUAUCGGGCCAGUUUCUGGUUCGGUGCCGUAGCUAACGCGUUAAGUCCGCGCCUGGG
rnacentral:rRNA from 1 species